rnacentral:rRNA from 1 species
UACGUAGGGUGCAAGCGUUGUCCGGAAUUAUUGGGCGUAAAGAGCUCGUAGGCGGUCUGUCGCGUCGGCUGUGAAAACCCGAGGCUCAACCUCGGGCCUGCAGUCGAUACGGGGCAAACUAGAGUACUGCAGGGGAGACUGGAAUUCCUGGUGUAGCGGUGAAAUGCGCAGAUAUCAGGAGGAACACCGGUGGCGAAGGCGGGGUCUCUGGGCCGAUACUGACGCUGGAGGAGCGAAAAGCCGUGGGGGAG